CAUGUACUCCCUCCGUCCUAAAAUUCUUGUCUUAGAUUUGCCUAAAUACGGAUGUAUCUAAUUACAUUUUAGUGUUAGAUACAUCCGUAUCUAGACAAAUCUAAAACAAGAAUUUUGGGACGGAGGGAGUAUUAA
rnacentral:pre_miRNA from 1 species